rnacentral:rRNA from 1 species
AUUGAACGCUGGCGGCAGGCUUAACACAUGCAAGUCGAGCGGGGUGAUGGUGCUUGCACUAUCACUUAGCGGCGGACGGGUGAGUAAUGCUUAGGAAUCUGCCUAUUAGUGGGGGACAACAUCUCGAAAGGGAUGCUAAUACCGCAUACGUCCUACGGGAGAAAGCAGGGGAUCACUUGUGACCUUGCGCUAAUAGAUGAGCCUAAGUCGGAUUAGCUAGUUGGUGGGGUAAAGGCCUACCAAGGCGACGAUCUGUAGCGGGUCUGAGAGGUUGAUCCGCCACACUGGGACGGAGACACGGCCCAGACUCCUCCGGGAGGCAGCAGUGGGGAAUAUUGGACAAUGGGGGGAACCCUGAUCCAGCCAUGCCGCGUGUGUGAAGAAGGCCUUAUGGUUGUAAAGCACUUUAAGCGAGGAGGAGGCUCUUUUGGUUAAUACCCAAGAUGAGUGGACGUUACUCGCAGAAUAAGCACCGGCUAACUCUGUGCCAGCCGCCGCGGUAA